UACAGAGGCCCCAAGCGUUACUGAGAAUCACUGGGCUUAAAGGGCGCGUAGGUGGUCCGUUAAGUUCGUUGUGAAAGCCCUGGGCUCAACCCAGGAACUGCUUCGAAUACUGGCGGACUUGAGGCUAGUAGAGGUCACUGGAACUGACGGUGGAGCGGUGAAAUGCGUAGAUAUCGUCAGGAACGCCAAUGGUGAAGACAGGUGACUGGGCUAGUUCUGACACUGAGGCACGAAAGCGUGGGGAUCAAACGGG
rnacentral:rRNA from 1 species